GGACUGUCUGACUGACUGACUGAUUGAUUGUUUGCUCGCUCAAUCAAUCGAUCGAUCGCUCGAUUGACUGAUUGAUUUGCUUGCCGUCAAUUUCAAGUCUCUUUGUUUCGUCAUCUUUAUGCUAGACUCUCGACGCAGGAUGUACGAUAAAGGUGUGUACCAAGACGUGGUGGAACCCAAGGCGAGUGACUUUCCUUGGGACUCUACGGAAAAGUCAUGAAGAGAAUCUGAAAUGCUUGGAGCCCUAAAGAAUCGCAAGAAACAAAGCAUGGGAGGCUCAGAAUACACGUUAACUUCACUGUUCAAGUAGUUUUGAGGGAAAUAUUUGCAGAACUUGGUUACAGAUGUGCCGUCGCUUCCGCUUUAGAGCGCUUUUCUUAUUGCCCUUGUAAAACUUGAACCAAAUUUAGUUAUUCGUGAAGAAUAUUUAGUUAUUCAUUAAGUAUAUUGCUCACAGCUCAAAGAAAUAACGAGAUAUCAGCAGCCAAAGUCACAGUGCAAGAAAGGAAACAUUUGUUUCGUACUGGAGUAGAAAAAGCUGAGAAUAUGCAAACGUGUACAUAUGAUCUGCUACUUCUCGGGGAGUGUCGAACAAACGUUGUCACUACUUUGCAGUAUUCUGCUCAUAGAGUUGACUAUAUGUAAUUCGGAUGCAAGGUUAACUAAUAAAAAUGUUUCCCGUUUUGA